rnacentral:ncRNA from 1 species
AGAUUGCAUGCCGGGUGUUCGUCUUGUCCCGUGUUGUCUUUGGUUGUCCUCCCUGGCUACAACUCUGUAUCCCAGUCGAGGCUCAACCGGAGUAGCAUGACGAGACAAGGUCGAUCUGAGAAAUACCGGAGAACUUGAUCUGGAUAAUACCAGCGAAAGGACAUGCUUUUGAUUCCCC